ACCGUUUUCCUGCGCUGGAAUAAAAAACAAUUGUCCUUUACCCUCUGUUCCCUGCGCCUGACUCCGCACCCACUUCUCAUAGAAGUGCGUUACACCCUGCCACAUACCUCCUGCGUCUGAGCCGUUGAAUUGCGACUCUACUUUGUCUAUAUACUGACGCUUAGCUUGUUUGUUUGCCUUGCGGAGGGAAUAGCUACACUGUUUGUAUUUUGUCAUGUUUCCGGUCACCUUGCCCUGAUUAAAAGCAGUGGUUCGCGCUUUCAGUGUCGCGCGAAUGCUGCCAUCAAUCCACAAUUUCUGGUUUUAGGAAUGUUUUAAUAUACGCUGUGGGUACGACAUCACCGAUGCACUUGCUAAUAAAUGUUAGAUGUAAUUCAACAGGCAUUGUUUCAACUGGUAGGAUUAUCAUCGAAGGCGGUCAAUUGAAAAAUCAAAGUUAAUCUUGUUAUUAUAGGUUUAUUUCAAUUUACCUCCUCCAAAUUCCUCCAUCACUGUCACUCUUGGGUAUUUUUAAAGCUCAACCCAGAGUCCUGCAUGAUUGUGGAAGUCUACAUUUCAUUAGAGGCUGUCAUAGGAAGACUUUGGUCAACGUCUGAGCAAAUUUCUAAGCAAGAGACACAUUCCGACUGAUGAAUUAUCCUCUGUCUGCAAAACAAUGACUUCAAUGGAACUGACAGUCAGGUCUUGAAGUGGGCCUUCUACUCCACAGGGAAGUGAGCUCCUUGCCUCUGAAACCUGCCUCACUCCCACCUGUUUGCCUCAGCACGCCCCCUCACUCACUGUUUAUAACCAACCUGCAGCCACCGAGAAGCACGGGAAGAGAAGGAGAGAGUUUGUGUGUAGAAGAGAGAAAAACGCAGUACAGGUCACUCUCCGAGGACACAGGUAAAUUAGCCACAUUCGCUCUCCAUCACCCCAGUGAAGGUAAGGCCCAGUCUCAACGAAACCUGUUGUACCACUCCACUGUAUGGUAUACUAUUGUAAAUGAGAAUAACAAGGGUUGACUCAUCUGGUUGUUGAAAAUGCUCCAAAGAGUAGUAAUUUGAUGUUGCGUUUUAUAUUCUCCUGUAGUCAGGUGCACUGACAAAAAUUAAUUAUUUGUUCCUCUCCGGAGACCAAGACUGUCAUUAUUCCUCUCUAAAACCAGAUUUCCAUCCAACCGUUUUAGGAGAGUAAAGUAGAUGUCGGAUAAAAAAAAUUCACAGGCCUAAUGGCAACAUAACAUUUUUCGGUAAACUUUCAAAAUGUCGACAAAACAAAAUACACUAGACAAGAUGAGACCUUUUUGUGUCGGUAAAAUAAAUUAUGCGAUUCAUGUAGGUGGAAACGCUUUUAUGCGCAAAUAUUGAUAUAAUAACCAUCAUAUCGAAGGAAAUUUGGGAGUCACGCGAUGAUUUGUAGUCCCCCACUACGAUUUGUCGGGAAAGCAUGAACUGUAUUAGGUUACAGAUUCAAUAAAUUAUGAAUUUAACAGGGUGGUGAU
rnacentral:lncRNA from 1 species